rnacentral:lncRNA from 1 species
UCUGACCUCGCGCGGCCACGAGCGUUUCUCGGUGUCGUUCUCCGCUCUGCGUACGGUUCCCUCAGCGGCUAUUAGCGAUCGAACAGCUCCGAGUGCCUGCGCGGAGGGGAACAGCCAGUGCGCUGAGAACAGACGGUUCUUGUCUCCGCUGGGAGCGCUGCCGUGAUCCUUUGUCCUGCAGAGCGCUGUUCCGGCGUGUCAGGCUGCGUCCUAGAUGCGGACUGCAAGGACGAGCCCCGCAGUACGGCAGCAGCCCGGAGCGCGGCCCGGCCCCACUGGGCGGAGCGCUGCCGCGCGGCCGCGCCUCCGUUCCCGCCCGCCGCCGCCGGGUGGCGCGCGCGUCCCGCUGAGGGUGGCUGUGGGAGCCCCGGCGGCGCCGCCCGAGUGGGGGGCGGAGUGGGGCGGGGGCUGCCUUCAACUCGGCCGGUGAGCGGCUGCCGGCGGAGCGAUGCUGCGGCCGGAGGAACGGCCGGGGCCCCGUGCGAGAUCGGCGACGGCCGAGGAGGUCGGUUCCGCAGCGCGGGGAGGUAGGAGGUUAGAAGGUGAUAGAUCAGAGAUUCUGGAUGAGAGCAUUCCACUCACUAAUGACAAGGCGUUUAUUAGAACAGUUGCACACCGUGUUUCCUUCCUAGAAGAGAAAGUGCCCGAAGCAAAGAAGAGUCAUGGUGCCUUUUUAAUACCACUUUCCAACUGUUUCGAUAUGCAGUUAUCCCAUCUUUAAAAACGUCUGGGACAUACCUUAACUCUGUAAAGAACAUCAUGAAUAUGCAGUCUGGUUAACAGGCAUGGAAAGGACACGACCUCCUCCAGGAGUGGCACUUUAAGAUCUGCCAAAACUCUAUCAAACCAAAGACUUUUUCCCUAUGAACAAUGUAGGUACCAAGUAUCAAAAUCAUUGAUUUCUGUCUCUUUUAUAAAAGGCUGGGUUUGUUCUUAUGGUUCAUACUUUAUAUAUGUAAGUAGAAGCAACUGUUAUACUUCAGAUCUUUGGUUAGCAUCUGUAAAAGGAAGCUGAAACUUUCCAAUCAUGUUGUGGCCGUAUAGAGGCUGGAACAUUUAUUCUAAGAUUUGAUCACAGUAGUUUACACCAUAAGCUUACAGAACCAGCAAAGCAAAUAUAUAAAGCAUCACAUUUUUAUACUUAAAAUGAUCAGAAGCUUAAAGAAUGUGCUAGUAUUGCAUGCUAAAACUGCCAGCCUCACAAAUCAUCAGGAUACACCACAGAGCAUGAAAUCAGGGUCAGAAUUUAACAAUUCAAUAAACCACAUAUGGCCAAACCUUCUAGCACUCCAAAGCAGGAAUAGGGUUUUAAAAGCUGUUGCGUAACACAAGCUGAGUAAUAUGAAUAAACUUUUUGCAAUGUUGUUAUGGACCUUUGGAUGUGCCAUUUUGUAAGAGUCAUUCUGUUUAACCAGAACUUGAAGUAGAAUAUUCAUCUCCCCACCUGUAGCUUGUUUUUUUUUUUUUUGUCUAGGUGAACAAAAAACAAUUAUCUGAAUAAGGAAAAUUAGAAAGAGGAGGUUAUAUACGUAGGUUAGAAGAUACUUGUCUCCUUUAUGUACAGAAGAUCUCACUAUGGCAACAAAAAGGAGGUCAAGAUGGUAGAUUGCUUCUGAAAGAUAAGCAUUUCAGAUAGUUGGCUUUGCAAAUAGUACAAUUUGAAUAAAUAGAAAUAAAUGCUCUUACUUUAAAAAUGCCUGUGAAAAAAACUUAAUCUGGAGGCUCAUAUGCAAGUACUACAAUGGGAAGCAGGGAGAAAGAAGGAAAAAAAAAAGCUUAUAGUGAAUGUAAAGCUCUAUGGCUUUGAGCAACCAUGGAGUCCAAUGCUGAAAUAAGUGAACUCAACGUUUUCAUAUUUAUUAGUGGAACUGGUGAUGAAAGAUAAAGUGAAUUAAAAUACAAAGCAACAGACAGACCUAGUCAGCGUCUGUGCCCUGCAGUGCAGGCUAUCGUAAUGGAUUACUACAAAUGAACUACUGUUACAGAGAAGAAAACUAAUUACAAAAGGCACAGAAUACUCAUUAUACCAGCCAUUUUAGCAAAACAUCAGCUUCUUUAUUAACAGAAAUGAAGGAACAGUACAGACACCAUACUCCUGGAAUCUUUAGGUUCUGAUAAAAACUGAGGUAAGCUGUGUAGGAACACAGCUGGGAGAACUGUACUUGCUGAGGCACAUCUCAGCUGCAGGUCAGUGCAAGGAAGGGUGGCUCAAAGUUACAGGAAUAACAAACCCAUGAGCACCCACAGAAAUAUAGUUAAAAGUGUCAGAUAAAAAUGCAAAUACCUCUACCCAUUCUCAGGCUGUCCUUGCCAGUCUUGGGUAUUUGUCAAGACAAAUUACCAGGUCACACUCCCUUAAAGUUCUUCUUGCAUGAUGCUGUCUUGUAUCUUGAAGUAAUGUGUAUGCUCAUCAUCCACUUCCUUCUCAGGAGUUAAGCGUUUAGAUUUCAGGUAACGUUUCAGAUGAAAACACGUUUCACUUUGCUUCAAUUCAGGUAAACUGGCUAAAGGAAAUUCUUUAGCUAAGGGAUCUUUCUGUUCUCUUACGCGGGCCAAAGCUGGGAUGCAAACUGUUUUCUCAGAAUUUAUUUAAGAGGUCAGACUGAGCUGGCUACUCAGCAACAGCUAGCAUGCUUCUAGAGCCCUCACACAGAACUCUAGUAACAUAUGUACAAAUCGGAUAUCUUCCAUCUCACUUAAUUAUAACGCUCCAAUAAACUACUCUAUUAUAAACACAAUCUAGACUUAAGGCUCCUUUUUAUUGGGCCAUUUACUAUUUCUGCUUCAUGACUACUACAAAAAAUGUGCUUUGCCUCAAGUGUAGAAAGGAACUCUUGCCCAGGCUAAGGUGCAGAUUUUAAGAGCAGCUUGUUUGAAAUACUGGAGUUCAUGCUAAAACUUAAACAUGUCUUCCUUGAUAUUUCUGUUAAGUACUAAUUUUAUGCAAAACCUUUACUUUAGUCACUACGUAAAACUGUAUUUCCUAUCGUGGCAUUUUCUGGCAAAUAAAAUGUUUCCAAGUUUUUACUUCAGUCUUAAUAUUUACUGAUGUCAACCAGCAACUCUCUUUGGAAAUGUGACCUCAACUAUAGGCUACUAAUGUGAAACUAACCUGAACAGAUACUGAGAAGUAUGAUGCCUGUUUCUUAAGAUUUUUUUACUUUGCUGCCUGACAGAUGGUAGUGGUUGCACUAUAUCCUGUAAGAGUUUAAUGCAGGUAACUCAUGGACUGUUUCUCCAGAAUGCAUGAUGAUAACCAUGUGUUUUUUUGUUGGUUUUUUUUUUUUUUUAAUUAACUAGUGUUCUAGAAUGCUAAUAGUAAAGGCAAAUGCAGACAAAGUUACUUUUGUAGGGUUUUUGAAUGCUACAAGGUCCUGUGUUUCUAAAAUUAUUUAAUCUCUUAAAGCCUCAGUGAUAUGCUGCAAAUUCUGAAAUUUAGUUAGGUUUUUGGACCGUAGCAUUCUGGGAAACAGAACAGCCAACAGAAAGGGGAAAGGAACAUUAACAACUUUUAUUAGCCUCUUCCAGGACUUCCCAUGGUUGAUGUUGCUGAAAAAAAACACCACCCAACCGGCAUCUACAGAGAGUAGUUAAUGGACUCAGCUGACUCACUGAAAAGUUAUUUUCAAGUAAACGCUUCAGAGAGUUUGGUAACAAAAUAAGACCUGAGGCUUGAGUUUUCUCCUAAGGCAGAGAAGCACAAGGGGCUCUUCCUCCGAUGUAAACAUCAAAAACAUUUUUUGUGUGAGGUCCCUAAAACUUAUCUUCUAAUGCUUGAGUGUAUAACUGAGAUUCAGCCCAACAGCCACACCUGUUACAGGGGCAGAACCAAAGUAUGUACAUCUUCUGUACAGGGGGAAAGUAAGAUCAAAAGACAAAUCUAAACAAUCAUAGCUAACCGUUUUCAGAUACAAAGAACAGGAAUGCUCAUUCCAAACUGUCAGCAUCACAAAUCAGUGGUUUGUUCAUUACACCAGUAGAAAGUACAGUUCACACUUGCACUUACCUGAAAAGGCUAUAGGUAAAGUCUUCUCAAGAUCUCUAUGAAAGGCUUGCUGUAUAAUAUGUUGAAAACAGAACCAUUUCCUCCUUUAUAACAUUAACAAAGAUUUCACGUGUAAAUUUAGUCCUUGUACAGCAUCAGAAAGUAAACCUUUUGGUAUUUUAUUAGUUGUAUACCUAAAUCAAGCUCAUUGCUCUUGUUAAGUGUAGUUUGGUUUUCAUCACAAUUGGAUUCUCUUCAGUAAAUGACUGUCUCAGUGACGUUUUGGUUAGAUAGCUGUACUAUACUGCACACUUGAGGAAGCGCAGAACUGAUCUGCAGAACAGGUCUGACCAAACCAAUCAUUCGUUUCAACAGAUUUUUGUGGGUUUUUCAGUAUUUACUUUUUCAACCCUCCCCCAUCCCCCAAAGGCUGUAGCUUGCAAGGCAUGCACCUUCCUUUGUGUUUAAGUGAUAUUCCCAUACCUUCCCUAUCAUUUACCCUCAACACGUAGCCUUUUAAAAGCAGACAUGGUUCUAAGAAGCUUUUCAAUAUGUGCAAGUGAUCCUCAUUGACAUAAGUAAGUGUAAAGGAAUGAAAAACACAAGUAAUUGAUGGACUGUUUCUAUGGAUGAAGAACUACGAUCACUACAACUUUAUUUAUAAACUACCAUUCUAGAAUGCUAAAUAGUCAAGACAAAUUCAGACAAAGUUAGUUUAGUACGAUUUCUCAAUGUCCUUGAAGAGAUUAGUCUAUUCAGUAAGAAAAUACUAUACAUACAUGCCCCAGCUGUGCUGUGCAGCAUCUUUUAGGAAACAAACGAACAAAAAAUACCAAACAAAAAACCCCCCAAAAAUUUAGCAAAGUGGGACUGCCCAGGCAGGAACAUGGCACUGCCAUGUAAUAAAGCAGAUAUUUACAGUAAGCACAAUACAGCAAUUUAUUUAGAUGUUUAAAUGAAGAAUACAAAGGGAAAUAAAGAUCACAAAAUUAUACAUACUACAACAGUGUGUCAUAUAUUAGAUGGUAUAAAUGAAUACAACACCUUGUUGGUGUUAACUAAAGAUAAAACUAAAUAUCCAAAACACAGCACUUUUGUUUUAAGUGUGCUGCUUCAACACAAUACACUUUUAUACAGAUCUAAAAGGUGUCAAAAUUAGUAGCUGCAAACUUGUUUCUUGCAUGUGAUUUUUCAUUUUUAGCUUAAAAGAUUUCAGAAAAUGGCUCUGAAAUACAUUUGUCAUCAGUUGUAAUGUCAAGGAUAUUCAGAACAAGAAAAUUCUAUAAUACAAUAAGAGUCCAGAUAUAUUUUUUUUAUGGUGCUGGCCUCUGUUUUUGAGAUUGUACAAGGUUAUGUGCAAAAACUAAGUUUGUCAAAAUUCAUACUAUAGCAGUUUCAAGCUUUUGCUAGGUAAACUAAAUACAGCAUUUAUUACACAGCAGGGCAACACUAAAAAAGAGAAACAAAUCUAUGAUGGGUACACAAGAACAAUUUCAUAAGCUUCACUUGAAUAGGUCUAAAAGACUGUACAAAUAUACAUUUCAACUAUUCAGAAUGAUACAUGAAAAAAAUCAAUUUCCCCAUAGUCUACUAUACACGUUGAACUGGUAGCUUGUAUGUUGGCCCUACGCACUACCAUGUGAAAAAGGGUAAUGUUUAAAAAGACAUACAACUGAACAUGUACAAGAGUGAAAUAAAUGUUGAAAAUGCAGAUAAAAUAAACCUCUGCUUUUUUCUGUGUGCAUUCUUGACCCACCAGCUUAUCUGUUUUCACAUUAAAUUACUGUGCUCAUCCCAGCAAGUACUCUCAAGCAAGAUUAGCCAACAGCAUCCUUAAACAACCACUGGAGUAACAGUGGCCACAAACACCACUCACCGUGACCUAGCACUUGGAAGGCAGUACCAGUUAGAAUUUAAGCUUAGCAGUCAUACUGAAAUGAAAGUGUUUAGACAGUUGUGACUGGAUCAUAUCACUGACAAUUCUGAGUUGAGGAGCUUAUGCUUGCUGACUGCUCAGCUCCACACCGGAUAAGCUGCUAUGCAUUGGAUCUGCUACCCCAUCAGUCACACUGUCAAACUGAUCUCCAUCCUCACUGUCAAUUGUGCUAUUCUGCCAUUCCAUCUGCUGAUUUGUCAAGCUCUCCUCAAUUUCUGAUGCGUUUUUCCAUUGCGACUGGUCCUUAGCCCAGAACUCUUCUACUUUUCCAUAGGAACGAUUCUUCCACUUUGACUGCUCUUCAUCACUCUCAGACCCACCUCCUUUUGUCUCAGCAGUCGGUUUACUGCUACCAGCAUCUUCACUUUGUGAGGAUUCAUCUGUCCACACUUCUGGUUUUACUUCUGAUGUAUUAUCUUCAAAAUCAGAAACUUGCUGAGAACCAGGCCCACUUUCAGACUGUGAAGCUCCAUCUUUCCAUUCAACAGCAUCAUCUUGAUCAUCCUGAUAACCUUCACUAUCUGAAACAUCACCAACCAGUUUUGUCUGCUCUUCGGCAGAAAUCAUCUCCUCAUAUUUAGAGCUUUCUUCUUGUUUUUGAUCAGACUUUUCUGGAGAUGGUAAAGUAUUUUCUUCAAUGAUUUCCUUGGAUAUGCCAUCAUCCGGGUUCUCUGCUAUGCUAUCAGGAGAAGCUUUCUCACCAAUGUCAGAAAUAUGUGGACCAAAUGGACUACUGCUUUCAUUGUAUUCCUCUUCUAUGUUCUCAUAGCUGUCUGAUGAACUUUCAUUGUCUUUUUCUAUGUUUAUUUUUUUAUCAACAGUCUUACUUACAUUAACUCUGGAAUUCUUUUCAUCGUGGUUUUCAAACAGCCAUUCAGCAUCAAAAUCCAUUUCAUGCUUAACUUUGUUUAAUUCUUUCAUAUUGAAACCAAGCAGCACACCAGGUUUGUAUUUUUCACAAUCUCUAACACAUUUUUUCCUUUUGUUGCUAAAGUGAGAUGCAAUAUCAGAUUUCCACAGCCACAAACUGGCAGCCAGCUUUUCAAUCUCUCUCCUAGUUGGAUAUGGUUGCUUAUUAAAAUAUUUUGUGAGAAAUGUUUUCCUGGCUUCAUAGGAAUCAUCUUCAUGACCCUUGGGGUCCAAUGCUAGAACUACCGGUUCUUCAGGCUUCUCCUCAAAGGCAGAGGGGGAGUCAUCAUCAUCCAUUUUCCUUCUCUUCAUUAGAGAGAAUUCCAUGUGUUCGUAAGUACGUUUUACAGGCGCUACACCUGCAGACUGACUUAGCCGAGAUGACGAAGUACCUUUGUCCUGGCCAUUCUGAGUCUUCCCAACACCUCUGCAGUGAACAAGGUGCAACGUUAUAGUUGAGGCAGUCAUGUUACUGGUAUACACGCCAAGGCAAUGAAUGCAUUUGUAGGUUAGCUUUUUCUCAACUGGAUGAACCGUCUGAAUAACUUGAUGCCUCUCCCGUAGAUGAUGUGCAAGUGCAUCAGAGAUGGGUCCCUUUAGGAUUGAGAAACACAGAGGACAGAGAGUUUUCCCCACAUCUUUCUUGUAGGGAACUGCUGCUUGUGGAGAACUUUUCACAGGUACAUCAGACUUCUCCUGGAUUUUCGGCUGUGGUUUUGGAGGAACUGGAGGUGUAUUCUGAGCAUGGUAAGCUACAGAUUCAGCAGGAGCAUCUCUCAGGUUGUAGGUCGUUACGAGAAGAUGUAUAUUUGUGAGACUACCCUGCUGCAGUGUCAAAUCAAACGUUAAAGUGGAAUCAGUUUUAGGUCCCAUUUCUUCAUCAACAUGAACCAUUCGCAUAUGAGCAGCCAUCUUUUCAACAUCAUUGAAGGUUGAACGGCAAUACGGACAAGACAAACCAUGUAUUAACAUAUGAUUAAGCAAUGUAUCAGUGGGUAAAUAGCGAUUACAGUAUAGACAUUUGCUAGUGAAAUUGUGUAUUUUCAUUAUAUAGUUAGCUACUGCAGGCACCUUUUCAGCCUUAUGCUCCUUUUCAAAGUGAACACUAUACACAUUUUCAGGAAACAGCUCAUUACAGAUUGUACAGAUUUUCCACUUUUGUGUGGAUGAUGUAUUGACAGAAGAAGGACCUGUAGCAGCUACAGGAGAUUUUGAGCCAGACUGACCUAAUACUCUUGAAGCUGCCUGUGACUGAGAUAACGACGUUUGUUUCAAUUGAGCUGACGACAAAGAAGUUGAAUUGGCAGACUGAAGAGAAUAUCUUGCUGAGGCCUGAGAUCUCUGUUCCCCAAGAGCAUAAGGCCUUCCAUUUCCACUUGAAAACUGUUUCAUUGUUUGAGAUUGCUGUGGAAUAGAAACUGGUGCAUUACCACUUAAGCUCAGCCUUCCCCCUGGCUGACCAACAUAACUUGGUGGUACUGAUUUGACACCGUAAUUGUUUUGCUGUAAGUGAACAUUUGACAUCAUAUUCACUCCUGCAGAAUUUAAUGUAGGCUUUGGUAUAGUGAGUCUGUUCAUCAUCUGUUGUGAUGAAAGAGAUCGAACGCUCCCAGGGGAAAGGGGACCCAUCCUCUGAGGGAGUCCCAUAGGCUUUUUGUCCUGUGGUUUUGGAGCUAUUAGCAUCAAAGGUUUAGAUCUUGGAACCACUACAUUAGUGUGACCUAUCAUCGCUGUUACCUGAUACCCUAUACGUUCAUGGUCUUCAAUAACGUGCUGUACUAAAGCUUCAUAUGAUUUCGGCAUAAAAAGGCAUCGUUUGCAAUGAAUACUACCCUCCUCCCGGGUACUGGAACUUAAUGGAACUGCACCAUUGAGUGACUUUUCACCUCCCUUUGCUACGUAAGGAGCAGCUACGUGCUGAAAAUGUUCCCUGUAAAUGUGCUUUCUAACAAUUUCAUACAGCGGAUCUCGGUAAGUGCACUUCUUACAGUAAUAAACAGCUUGUUCUACACUGUCAGCCUGCUUAGGUUUAAGGCUAUCAUGCUUGUUUUUAUCUUUAAAAGUGCUGAUGCCUCCACUUGGUGUAUUGGCAUUUGGAGCAUGAAAUAUUUUAAUGUGCGUUUCCAAAGUCUUUUUGUCCGCAUUGAAAGUACAGUAUGGACAGUUAAGGAGAAUCCGAUUUUCAAAGUCUUCGCUAUGGACAUUCCGGAAGUGGCUUUUGUAUGCUGAAAAGAACUUCGAGGAAAAUGGACAUGCACUGCAGCAAAAGGGCUUUGUCCGAUAGUCCUGAUUUUUUGUAAGCGAUGGGUCCCACAAUCCUACAUCUUCCCAUGUAGUGUUUUUCAAAUAAAAGUCAUUAGGUUCAAACUGCUUAAAAUCUUCUAUAUGUUCUUUACAGUAUUCCAAACCAAUGUCACUAAGUAUUUUUUUCACAGUUUUCCGGGCCUUUCUUAAACUGCCAAGGUUGUUGACAGGAAGUUGGAACAUAGUUUCUCGCUCAUUUUCCCUCUUCUCAUCUUCCCUGCGCCAAUUCAUAGCGUCCACAUUCUUUCGUCGUUCUCUCUCAUCCUGUCUCCAUCGCUUCUUGAUAUCUUUGUCCUUAACUUGCUCAUUUUCUCUCCUCUUCUCAUCAUCCCUGUGCCAUUUUAUUGUUUCUGCAUUUUUCUGUGGGUCCACGCUUCUUUUGAGAUAGUCUUGUCGCCUCCUCCUCUUUUUUAACAUAUCUCUUUCCCUGGCACGAGCCUGCUUUUCUUUCUGGGAAAGAAAAGCUUUACGGGGCAUCAUGAGCUGCUGCUGUACCUCCAAAAUUAAUGGUGCUUGGGCGUCUCAGACUCAUUGGACAAGUUUCAUGCAAAAGCCUUCAAAAAUAAUUCUCCUUCC